rnacentral:rRNA from 1 species
CACAGGAUGCACCGUAGUUUACUACACCGUAUUCUGUGAGUUGCGAACGGGUGAGUAACGCGUAGGUAACCUGCCUGGUAGCGGGGGAUAACUAUUGGAAACGAUAGCUAAUACCGCAUAAGAACAUUUACUGCAUGGUAGAUGUUUAAAAGGUGCAAAUGCAUCACUACCAGAUGGACCUGCGUUGUAUUAGCUAGUAGGUGAGGUAACGGCUCACCUAGGCGACGAUACAUAGCCGACCUGAGAGGGUGAUCGGCCACACUGGGACUGAGACACGGCCCAGACUCCUACGGGAGGCAGCAGUAGGGAAUCUUCGGCAAUGGGGGGAACCCUGACCGAGCAACGCCGCGUGAGUGAAGAAGGUUUUCGGAUCGUAAAGCUCUGUUGUUAAGGAGGAACGAGUGUGAGAAUGGAAAGUUCAUACUGUGACGGUACUUAACCAGAAAGGGACGGCUAACUACGUGCCAGCAGCCGCGGUAAUACGUAGGUCCCGAGCGUUGUCC